AAUCAGACCGAUCCUCAACGACAACAGGAUGCAAAAUUUUAACUAAACUGAUCCCUCAAUUAUUCCAAUACCAAGCCGAUGCACCCCAUUACUUUGUUGUACAUUUAUCCAGCAUGGUUGCUUAAUUGAACUAACUUAUGACCCCACGUUUUCAUCACCUUGGAUAAGAAACGAAUCCAAUGACAUCAUGAAUGGAUCCCAAGCAAAUAGGCCCAUCACCACCAC
rnacentral:lncRNA from 1 species